rnacentral:tRNA from 1 species
GAGGGUAUAGCUCAGGUGGUAGAGCACAUGCUUAACAUGCACAAGGUCCUGGGUUCAAUCCCCAGUACCUUCU